AUGCAACGCGAAGAACCUUACCUGGCCUUGACAUACUAGAAACUUUCCAGAGAUGGAUUGGUGCCUUCGGGAAUCUAGAUACAGGUGCUGCAUGGCUGUCGUCAGCUCGUGUCGUGAGAUGUUGGGUUAAGUCCCGCAACGAGCGCAACCCUUUUCCUUACUUGCCAGCAUUUCGGAUGGGAACUUUAAGGAUACUGCCAGUGACAAACUGGAGGAAGGCGGGGACGACGUCAAGUCAUCAUGGCCCUUACGGCCAGGGCUACACACGUGCUACAAUGGUCGGUACAAAGGGUUGCUACCUAGCGAUAGGAUGCUAAUCUCAAAAAGCCGAUCGUAGUCCGGAUUGGAGUCUGCAACUCGACUCCA
rnacentral:rRNA from 2 species